GAUGAACGCUCGCGGCAGGCCUAACACAUGCAAGUCGAGGGAGAGGUUACCUUCGGGUCACCAAAACCGGCGCACGGGUGCGUAACGCGUAUACAAUCUGCCUUUCACAUAGGGAUAGCCCGAAGAAAUUUGGAUUAAUACCUAAUGGUAUAUAAGAGCGGCAUCGUUUUUAUAUUAAAGCUACGGUGGUGAAAGAUGAGUAUGCGUUCUAUUAGCUAGUUGGAGAGGUAACGGCUCCCCAAGGCGAUGAUAGAUAGGGGUUCUGAGAGGGAUGUCCCCCACACUGGUACUGAGAUACGGACCAGACUCCUACGGGAGGCAGCAGUGAGGAAUAUUGGACAAUGGUCGGAAGACUGAUCCAGCCAUGCCGCGUGCAGGAUGAAGGUCCUAUGGAUUGUAAACUGCUUUUGUAAGGGAAGAAUAAGGAGUACGUGUACUUUGAUGACGGUACCUUACGAAUAAGCAUCGGCUAACUCCGUG
rnacentral:rRNA from 1 species